UAUGCAUUUUAAUCCAUUAAGCCCAAUUUCAAUUGGGCCUAAAACUAUGAUUCAUUAAGUCCAAAACUAUUUUUGGACUUAAAAGCAUAAACAUAAAAAUUUUCUACCCAUAAGAAAAAUUAUGAAACUAUAAAGACCUCCAUGAUAAAAACUAUGAAACCCUAAAAUCAUAUUUUUCUUUCUUCUUCUUCCCCAUUCGCCAUCUCCACAAAACACCAGCUGUCGUUCACCCAUCUUCUAUCGCCGAUUUGACCAUCUUCGCCACACUGGGAAGCCACCAAACGACGUCCUCUGCUAGCUGCAAACGUUCGCAAGCUUCCAGCCUCCACACGCUUGCUGCAGGCAGCGUUGCAGCACGCACUGCUUACUGCGUACGCAGCGUGUGUUGCCUGCAGUGUGCAGCCUGCUGCGCGCACUACUAGCAUGUGCGUUGCUGGUCGCGUGCUUCUCGUCGCGCGUUGCUUGCUAGUCAUCGCUAAAAUUUCCAGCAAUUCUUUCAAUCUGUCGUUGUGUGAUUAUUUUCAGUGAUUUACAAAUUUCCUAUACCAAUUUUGGCUUACAAAAUUUCUAUAACAAUAAACUAAAUUAAAAGGGAAACAUAUUUAUAAUAAACCACCCCUCUUGUUAUAGAUCCAAAGGAAAAAUACAGCAAAGAAUCUAACCAUGAAUUCAAACAAACCAAAACAUGCUUUAUUCAUAUAUU
rnacentral:lncRNA from 1 species